UUGAAGGAUGAGUUGGAAUUUUCCAGCUGGAGAAAAUGAGGGAGGAAAGGAUAAAUUUCCAGGAAGGGAUCAGUAUAGGCAGGCUUGGAAGGAGAUGAUGGAUUGGGGAAAUGGCAAGUUGUUGGGUAUUAGGGUAUUGAGGAGGGAGAUGAAAUUGGAGUACUCCGCUGUGGUCAGAAAUCAAAAGGCCACAUUCACCAAAUCAUGGUUGGUGACCUAACCAUGGAGUGGGCCUGCCUGUUGAGCCAUUCUGCUGUGAAGAGAUGGGGGUAAGUUCACGGAGAGCUGGCAUUGAAGGAUGGCUGGGAAGUCUCUGUGCUAGGAUGGGGCAGGCAAUGGCAAUGUGUGUUCUAGAUACUGAUGUGACUCACCUGCAGUGAGGAGCAGAAUUCCUAAGGUCCCCAGGAGGGCAGGAAAGGUGGGGAUUCACAUUCAGCCACAAUGGUCAAGAAAGAGAAAAGGAGUGGGGCUUCAGAACACCUGGGGGUUGAUGAUGUCUUACACUUGGUGUUUCUCAAGUCCCAGGGCUCAGGUCUGGAGAAAAGGUGAUUAUGUAGGUCAGCGUCUCCAACUAUAGAAAACAAGGCACUUGCUAGCGUAAGCUCAAGGCCAUCCUCAGGAAUGAAUAGCUGUUGACUUUUCAUUUUAAGUGCGGAUUCGGGCAUGUGAGGACAAAGUAAUAAUUCGGGUGAAAGGUCUCCCUUAUGAAAGGAUUCACUCUGAAUCGCAGAAAACAACUCCUUCUCCUCCUAAGUACACCUUAACAUUAUUCCUUUUAUAAGGGUAAGAGUCAAACUGGGACUUGGUAAUCCAGCCAAAAACUGGAUUCAGGGUGUGAAUGAGCCUUAUUGACUCUCUAUGUAUCCAUAAACCACCUUGUAACCCCCCACCUGACAUUAUGUCUACCUGUCCUAUUGAAUCAGAGGUCCCCAAAGCAAGCUGAGGGUGCCUACCUUCUUGGGAGAGAAGGACCCAGGCUCCAUUCCUGCCACCGUGGGUUUGUAAGUCUUCGUAGACAGUGAGCCCCUUCUGCUUGGCUUCUCCUCCUCAGCUUUUGCAGGCAAGCUAAGGCUUUAGCCUUUCCUCGAGGGAGCUUUGGCCAAUUUAGGGCAAAGCGGAACUGUGUUUGGUAGUAACCUCGGGCUUGGGUUUCUGUGUCACUCAGCAUACGUGGAAUGUUCAUGUUUCUGUCUGCCUUCACUUUCGAGCAUGUUCUGUGUACCAGGCCCCAUACAAAGUGCUUUAGGCCUGACCUAAUCAAGUGAGCCAUUCAAAAGAGAAUACAGGCCUUUGCUGAAAGGAGAGAUCUGAAGCAGUGGAGACCUUCUCUUAUUGGCCAUGAAGAAGCAAUUUGCUAUGUUGUGGAGAAAGUUGUAUGCCAGGAGCAGUGGGUGGCUUCUAGGAGCUGAAGGCCUUAGUCUCACAACCACAAGCCACUGGAUUCUGCCAGCAAAUGGUAAGCUUGAAAGAAGAUCCCAAGCCUCAUAUGAAAUUGCAGUCCUGGCUGACAUAAUCAUUUUAGCCUCAUGAGACCUUGAGCAGAGACCUCAGCUAAAAUGUGCCCAAACUUCUGACCCAUAGAAAUGGUGAGAUAAUAAAUGGGUGUUGUUUCAAGACACUAAAUUUGUGGUAAUAUGUUAUACAACAGGAAAAAACUAAUACAAUCUGAUAGGCUUGUAUUGAAUUCCUGUUCUUUAGUUACUACAAAUGUGAUCUUGGACUUAACCUCUCUGAGCCUGAGUUUCCUCAUCUGUAAAAUGGGUAAUACCUACCGGUAAAAUGAGUAAUAGUAAAACCUACCUUAUGGUACAUUUGUGAGGGUUAAAUAUACUCAGUACAUUUGAGUUGAAUGAAUGAAUGAUGCUGAGUCACUUUAAAGAACAAAUAUAGCACAUGUACCGUCUGAACCUCAAGUAAAAAAAUUUUUUAAAAAGAACAGGUAUAAACACAGCCUUUUCAUCUGAUUUUUUUUUUCUAAUUUAGUGCUGGUAUAAUCCUAGUUCACUCAUAUAUAAAAUUAGGUACCACCUAGAUGACAUUUUAGGUGCCUUCUAGUUAUACAUUCUAUAAUGCUGAUAAUCUUGAGAUAAGGUCUUAGAAUGAUAAUCUUAAAGUUGCAAAAAAAAAUUAGUAUUCUUAAAGAGUACCCUAAAAGAGAUAUUUGUUAAUGAGAUAUUCUUCUUUCCUGAGCCUCUCUCUUGAACCAGUCACUAUCCCCAACACAAUACCAUCAGGUAUUAAUAUCCAGAUGUCUGCACUGACAUUGAUAGCAUUAGUGCAAAGGUUUUGCCAGCUGAAAAUGCAAAAUAGUCUUUGAUCAAAUGUUAAAGACACAUUUGGAUUUCUUUGAUUUUUUUUUUUUUUUUUAAAUGGAGUUUCCCUGUUGCCCAGGCUGGAGUACAGUGGCAUGAUCUCGGCUUGCUGCAACAUCCGCCUCCCGGAUGUUCAAGCGAUUCUUUUGCCUCAGCCUCCCAAGAGGCUUGGGCUGCAGGCACGCACCACCGCACCUGGCUAAUUUUUAUAUUUUUAGUAGAGACAGGUUUUGCCAGGUUGGCCAGGCUGGUCUUGAACUCCUGACCUCAAAUGAUCCACCCACCUCGGCCAAAGUGCUGAGAUUACAGGUGUGAGCCACCGCACCCGGCCUCUUUGAAUAUUAAUAUAUCCUAGUAAUAUGAGGAAUAUGACCUAAAAGUAGA
rnacentral:lncRNA from 1 species